rnacentral:rRNA from 1 species
UACGAAGGGGGCUAGCGUUGCUCGGAAUCACUGGGCGUAAAGCGCACGUAGGCGGAUUUGUAAGUCAGGGGUGAAAUCCCGGGGCUCAACCUCGGAACUGCCUUUGAUACUGCAAAUCUCGAGUCCGGAAGAGGUGAGUGGAAUUCCUAGUGUAGAGGUGAAAUUCGUAGAUAUUAGGAAGAACACCAGUGGCGAAGGCGGCUCACUGGUCCGGUACUGACGCUGAGGUGCGAAAGCGUGGGGAGCAAACAGG